AUUGAACGCUGGCGGCAGGCCUAACACAUGCAAGUCGAGCGAGAAAGCACUUCGGUGUGAGUACAGCGGCGGACGGGUGAGUAACGCGUAGGAAUCUACCCAGUAGUGGGGGACAACAGUCGGAAACGGCUGCUAAUACCGCAUACGCCCUAUGGGGGAAAGCAGGGAUCUUCGGACCUUGCGCUAUUGGAUGAGCCUGCGUCGGAUUAGCUAGUUGGUGGGGUAAAGCCUACAAGGCGACGAUCCGUAGCUGGUCUGAGAGGAUGAUCAGCCACACUGGGACUGAGACACGGCCCAGACUCCUACGGGAGGCAGCAGUGGGGAAUAUUGCACAAUGGAGGAAACUCUGAUGCAGCCAUGCCGCGUGUGUGAAGAAGGCCCUAGGGUUGUAAAGC
rnacentral:rRNA from 1 species